CGACCUCAGUUCAGGCAGGAUUAACUGCUGAGUUUAAGAAUAUUAAUAAGAGAAGGAAAAAAAACUUACAAAGAUUUCCUUAGUAACGACGAGCGAACCGGGAACAGUCCAGCCAUAGAAUCGGGCGGCUCCAUCGUCCGAAUUAUAGUUUGAAGAAGCGUCCUCAGCAGCGGACCGGGACCAAGUCCCCUGAAAGGGGGCGCCAGAGAGGGUGAGAACCCCAUUAUGCCUGAACCCUGUCGCACCACGAGGCACUAUCUACGAGUCGGGUUGUUUGGAAAUGCAGCCUAAAUUGGGCGGUGAAUUCCAUCCAAGGCUAAAUAUAGGCGACAGACCGAUAAUGAACACGUACUGCGAGGGAAAGAUGAAAAGGACUUUGAAAAGAGAGUCAAAAAAUGCUUGAAAUUAUUGGGAGGGAAGAGGUUGGGGGCCGACGAUGCACCCUAAUCGAAUGUAGAAUGGCGACGAGCUGGUCCGCCGAUUGACUCGGGGUGUGGACCAGCGUGGAUUUGGGGUCAGCUAAAGCCCGGGCUUUCAAUAUGCUUGUGGAAUGCUGUCUCCUCAAUUGUGGCAGGCAGCGCGCGCCUUCGGUGGUCUUUGGCAUCUGCGCACUACUGACGCUUGCCUGUGGGCUCCCCAUUUGACCCGUCUUGAAAAAUGGACCAAGGAGUCUGACAUGUAUGCGAGUCAAUGGACGAGUAAACCCGUAAGGUGUAAGAAAGCUGAGUGGUGGUAUCCUCCCGAGGGGUUCACCACCGACCGACCUUGAUCUUCUGAGAAGGGUUUGAUCGUGAGCAUACCUGUUAGGACUCGAAAGAUGGUGAACUAUGCCUUAGUGGGGCGAAACCAGAGGAAACUCUGGUUAAGGCCCGCAGUGAUACUGACGUGCAAAUUCUUCAUCUAACUUAGGUGUAAGGCCUGCGGCUGCUGUGUCGAGCUGUGCUAAGGAAUCAAGAGCUCUAAGUGGGCCAUAAUUGGUAAGCAGAACUGGUGAUGCGGGAUGUACCGAAAUCCGGGUUACGUUGCCAAGCUGCGCGCUAACCUAGAUCCCACAAAGGGUGUUGGUCGAUUAAGAUAGCAGGACAGUGGUCAUGGAAGCCAAAAUCCACUAAGGAGUGUGUAACAACUCACCUGUCAAAUAAACUAGCCUCGAAAAUAGAUGGCGAUUAAGCGCACGACCUACACCCGGCUGUCGGGGAACGUUCCAGGCCUCGAUGAGUAGGAGGGCGCGGCAGUCACUGCAAAACCUUGGGCGCGAGCCCGAGUAGAGCGUCUGUCGGUGCAGAUAUUGGUGGUAGUAGCAAAUAUUAAUAUGAGAACUUUGAAGGCCAAAGAGGGGAAAGGUUCCAUGUGAACAGCACUAGCACAUGGAUUAGUCGAUCCUAAAGGUCGGGGAAUCGGGUUAAAAUUCGUGGACCCGGAUGUGGUGAUCGACAGCACUUGCACAUGCAAUUGUUGCACAUGCAAUUGUUGGCCUUAGUAACGGCGAGCGAACCGAGAACAGCCCAGCCUUAGAAUCGGGCAGUUCCAUCGUCCGAAUUGUAGUUUGGAGAAGCAUCCUUAGUGGCCGAUCAGGCCAAAGUCCCCU
rfam:Capsicum annuum cultivar Zunla-1 unplaced genomic scaffold scaffold2697, whole genome shotgun sequence